rnacentral:lncRNA from 1 species
CUCUCUCUCUCUCUCUCUCUCUCUCUCUGCCAAUGAAAAAUUUCACUCUCUUCCAUACGUCUUUUCUACUUUCACAAUCGUGUUUCUCCUCUCAUCCCUCGCCGUCGUCGACUUGACCGCCACCGUCCACCUCAGCCUCAACACACCGCCGUCGUUUUUCCUUUUCUUGAGACCAGGUAUUUCUUUGAUAUUUGUUCCCGAUAAAUCAAAUUCAAAUCCCUAAAAAAGCAUCACCUUUUUUCUCUUCCGCGUCGGCAAACCUGAGACGGACGGCCACGGUCCCGGCCUUAUCAGCACCGGAGGUGUACUAAAUAGUCAAUUGAGAACGAGCAGGUGGCCAUGCUCUUGGUUCUUUUUAUUGAAUAGCAUUGAGCAACAAAAUUGAAAAAUAACACUUGCAGAACAUUUUCAUUGUAAAUUUGAUCAAUGGGUUCUAGAUUUGUGGAAGGAGAACAAUCAUCACUCACUGACGAUUAGGAUGCCUUGAUUUCGACGACUGAUGUUGAGCUUCUCAAGCGAGCUUGGCGUAAUGAAAAGGCAGCCCCCCCUGAGAUUCUUCGUUUUGAAUCUGAUUUGAUCAACCGCGUCAAAGGACAGAUUGAAUUGAUGGUUGAGGACCACUUCAACAAAUUUGGAAUGGACAUUUGCAGAGAUCUCGAAGGUGAAGAUGAAAUAAGAAUUUUCAGGUAUGAAUUGGAAGUAGAGAAAAUAUUGUGA